ACAUGCAUAGAACAUAGCAUUAAUGCAUUGAAUCCCAUUAGAACUCUGUAGUUAAGUGUGCUUAGGCUAGAGUAGUACUGGGAUGGGUGACUGCUCAGGAAGUCCUAUUGUUUUACAUGCC
rnacentral:rRNA from 1 species